rnacentral:rRNA from 1 species
CUUGUAGGUGGCGUGUCGCGUCUGUCGUGAAAUUCACUGGCUUAACUAGUGAAGUGCGGUGGGUACGGGCAUGCUUGAGUGUGGUAGGGGAGAUUGGAAUUCCUGGUGUAGCGGUGGAAUGCGCAGAUAUCAGGAAGAACACCGAUGGCGAAGGCAGAUCUCUGGGCCGCUACUGACGCUGAGGAGCGAAAGCAGUGGGGAGCGAACA